rnacentral:rRNA from 1 species
AACGAACGCUGGCGGCAUGCCUAACACAUGCAAGUCGAACGGCAGCGCGGGAGCAAUCCUGGCGGCGAGUGGCGAACGGGUGAGUAAUAUAUCGGAACGUGCCCAGUAGUGGGGGAUAGCCCGGCGAAAGCCGGAUUAAUACCGCAUACGACCUACGGGUGAAAGGGGGGGAUCGCAAGACCUCUCGCUAUUGGAGUGGCCGAUAUCAGAUGAGGUAGUUGGUGGGGUAAAGGCGUACCAAGCCUGCGAUCUGUAGUUGGUCUGAGAGGACGACCAGCCCCACUGGGACUGAGACGGGGCCCGGACUCCUACGGGAGGCAGGAGUGGGGAAUUUUGGACAAUGGGCGCAAGCCUGAUCCAGCAAUGCCGCGUGGAGGAAGGAGGCCUUCGGGUUGUAAACUGCUUUUGUCAGGGAAGAAAUCCUCUAGGCUAAUACCUUGGGGGGAUGACGGCACCUGAAGAAUAAGCACCGGCUAACUACGUGCCAGCAGCCGCCGUAACAC